rnacentral:misc_RNA from 1 species
UACCUGUAGUAAGGUGAGGUUGCCCAGCAAUGUUCCUAAUCUGAUUGUGCCUGCUACAAAUGCAGUUAUUACCAAGGCUCUAAGUGUCGGGGGCAGGCUGAUUGAUGCUCGCCUGGUUUUCACCAAUGGCCUGCUCUCCAAGGCCCUGGUUCCGGUUGCCCAGUGCCUGAGUGACAUUGGGGAGAGGAAAGGUAAGCCUGUGGAUGAUUACCUGGAUGGCCUGAAUAACUGUGUAUGUCUCCUGACUUCUGCAGUGUGUUACCUUAACCAGCUCAGGAAGAAAGUGGCCCGCAUUCACGUGAACGAUUCAGCCCUUGUGGAGCUUUGCCGUUGGGACUGUGAAGUUGGCACUGCAGAGCUGUUCCCCUUUGAUGUCAUUAAGAAGUGUGAGGAGUUGCAUCGGGCCAGGCGGCUGGGCAGGCCUUCUUUCCGGCCAUACCGGUCAGGAGGUCCCAGGCGGACGGCUGCUUCCCGCCAGGCUCCCAGGAGGGCCCCUCCUUCCCAGAACUCAAGGUUUUGGUCUAAGCCUUUUUUAGGCCAGCGGCCUCCUCCGCUGAGGGGGAACCAGCAACACAGGCCGGCCCAGUGAACCCUUGCCGAGUCCGCCGCGUCUAGCAAGGCUGCGCUCCGUCUUCCGCUGUCCUCCAUCCUUUCAUCUGUGGGCUGGUCCAGGGAGUCUACCUUCGCAAAGUUUUAUGGGAGGCCAAUUAGCAAGAAGGAGUUAUUUGCACAGGCGGUGUUGGCGGAGGAUGGGUCUCCUCCAUGAAUAUGUAAAAUGUACUACGGUGUUUUGUGGUGGUUUUCAUAUGAUUUCAUUGUUUGUCCACAUAUUUGUACUUAAUUGUAUGCUUUUGGCUGGAAUACAUGAAGAUGAUACUAUAUGGUUUUCAGUCAUUCCUGGUUUUGGGGUUCGGCUUGGUUUGAGGACCUGCUCUAAAGCUCUCAUUUGUUGCCUCGGUGACGUCAGUUUAAAUAUUGUGAAGUGAAAUUGUAAGAUUAAACGAUACUUACCAAGUUGAAGUUUGAUCGUAAUUUCACGAACAUUUAAACGACGUCACUGAGGCAGUAAAUGCCCUCCCUUCCCUCCCACGGCUUCUUGGUCGCCGUGUUUUGGGGUUUUUUCUUCACUCACUGAAAAAUGUUUAGUUUUUGUAAUUUUUAUACUUUGUUCCUCAAACCAACACUCUGAAGGACUGACGAGGAGCGGCAUAGACAUCUCAUUUACUGCCUCAGUGACGUCGUUUAAAUGUUCGUGAAAUUACGAUCAAACUUCAACUUGGUAAGUAUCGUU